ensembl:scaRNA
AAGCACCAGAUACGAGCCUGACAGUCUACUUUGUCUCAGAUGUGUUUCACACUGGGGUUUUCUAUGGCUGCAUGGCUUCAAACGGUGCGAGAGCAGCAUCAGCCCUGAGAUUUAAGCUUUUCAGUGGAAAGCAACACUGUUAAGUUAUGGCUCAGAGGCACAGAG